AUCUGGGCGGCGGAAUUCAGGAUGGCGAGCGUGUCUUCGCGGCAUCGUUCGUCGUUUGAUAUUUCCGUCGCCGAAACAACCUACAGACGUCGCGACCUGUUCGCGGUCGGUCCCUGCUCGGAGGAGCCGCGUUCGAGUUCGUUGUGGGCGCGUUUCUGCGCGUUACACGGCGAAGGCGCGUGUCUCUGGCUGGCCGACGGACAGUAAGCUUAACGGUGUCCGAUGUCGUCGUCUCGUACGCGCGCGCAUCGGUACCGGUCAGCGACGAAUUCUUCGGGCCUCUUUCCGACCCGUCUUGAAACACGGACCAAGGAGUCUAACAUGCGCGCGAGUCGCGGGGUGUCGAGCGUACUACGGUGCGUUCGUUACGUUGCGAAACCCGUCACAUGUUGAAGGCGUAAUGAAAGUAAAUGGGGAAGAUGGUGUUCCGAGUACACGUUCCGCGGUCAUUGGUACCGCGGCCGGGCACCCGCAUUCCCGGGGCGUCUCAACGGCCCGUCGUCGAUGCGGGCAGUCGUCUCUCGGGGCGGCUGUCGGUCGGCGAUGAACCGA
rnacentral:rRNA from 1 species